CCUACGGGAGGCUGCAGUGGGGAAUAUUGCACAAUGGGCGCAAGCCUGAUGCAGCCAUGCCGCGUGUGUGAAGAAGGCCUUCGGGUUGUAAAGCACUUUCAGCGGGGAGGAAGGCGGUGAGGUUAAUAACCUCAUCGAUUGACGUUACCCGCAGAAGAAGCACCGGCUAACUCCGUGCCAGCAGCCGCGGUAAUACGGAGGGUGCAAGCGUUAAUCGGAAUUACUGGGCGUAAAGCGCGCGCAGGCGGUCUGUCAAGUCGGAUGUGAAAUCCCCGGGCUCAACCUGGGAACUGCAUUCGAAACUGGCAGGCUAGAGUCUUGUAGAGGGGGGUAGAAUUCCAGGUGUAGCGGUGAAAUGCGUAGAGAUCUGGAGGAAUACCGGUGGCGAAGGCGGCCCCCUGGACAAAGACUGACGCUCAGGUGCGAAAGCGUGGGGAGCAAACAGGAUUAGAUACCCCAGUAGUC
rnacentral:rRNA from 1 species